GACGAACGCUGGCGGCGCGCUUAACACAUGCAAGUCGAACGGAAAGGCCUGCUUUCCCUUGUGGAUUGCGGGUACUCGAGUGGCGAACGGGUGAGUAACACGUGAGUGAUCUGCCCCCAACUUGGGUAUAAGCCUGGGAAACUGGGUCUAAUUCCCGAUAGGACUGCAGGGUGGUGCCUGUGGUGGAAAACGAUUUCCUAGUGGUUGGGGAUGAGCUCGCGGCCUAUCAGCUUGUUGGUGGGGUAAUGGCCUACCAAGGCGGCGACGGGUAGCCGGCCUGAGAGGGUGGACGGCCACAUUGGGACUGAGAUACGGCCCAGACUCCUACGGGAGGCAGCAGUGGGGAAUAUUGCACAAUGGGCGGAAGCCUGAUGCAGCGACGCCGCGUGGGGGAUGACGGCCUUCGGGUUGGAAACUCCUUUCGACCGCGAGGAAGCCACCUGGUUGGAAGGGUGGUGACGGUAGUGGUAGAAGAAGCACCGGCUAACUACGUG
rnacentral:rRNA from 1 species